rnacentral:lncRNA from 1 species
GAUUUCAAUGUCUAAUUUUAUGUAUCUUUGUUUUGCAAGUAUGAGGAACUAAACCCCCCUUGGCUAGGGGGGGAUUCAAAACCAUGUUUAUACUUGCUAUAUGAUUUGAUUACUUCUAAUUGCGUUUCAUAAGUUGUGAAUUCAAUUUACUUAUCUAUGUGAAUUACAUUGAUUUGUGUGUGUUGGUUGAGAGUGCACGCUUAAUUAUCAUGCAUAAAUUGAAUGCUAGGAUAUAAGAAAAUUUCACCUAAUCGUUAUGGACUUACAUUCACAAGUAGUAAAGGUUGAUGAUCUCAAUCGCGUUAAGUAAAUUCUUGGAAUAAGUUUCAUGCAAUCAUAGUAACAAGUGCUUCGUCAAUGCUUAUGGUUUUCAUAGAACUUAAUGAUU